UUUUUGAGGAUUCAUUGAUGCAAACACCUGAAGCUAGACAAAUGGUGAACAAGCGAGACGGUGUUGGCCUUGCAAAGCAGUACAAGCGAGGGAUGAACUUAUAACUAAGAUCAAGUUUCUUGAAUUAAGUUUAUCCCUUCCCUUGUAUUGCGAUGGAGUACAUUGAUAUAGAAAUAUAAUUAGACCCUGAUGUGCAGGAAUACCUUGAUAUAUAGACAAGUUAGAAGAUGUGAGACAGUGUUGGUCCUGCGAAACUAUAGAAGUAGCACAACCGAGAAGUAACACAUUCUCGUCUCUAAUUCUUUUGGAUACUGGAACUGACGGCAAUAGCUGAAUCCAAGAGAUGGUUAACGAUUCUCUGAUACCAAUCGGCGACUUAGUUUGGCGGGUGAAUUUUUUUUUAAGCCAAGUUGAUGCCAAGAAAUAGUUAAGGCUACUCUGAUGUCAAUGGACGACUUCUUUUGGCGGAUGAAUAACUUUUUUCAACCAAGGUAUAAUGCAGAAGAACACUUGCUUACAUUUAGAAACUGCUGAAAAACACAAAGCUUGUCAUUUGAUUAUAAUUAACCAUAUAGGGAACCAUGUAUGUUUUUAGCCUUAAGCAUUUCUUCCAAUGUAAGAAUUACACUCGUAUAUACUUAUGUAUGUGAACGAAU